rnacentral:lncRNA from 1 species
UGCAAGGAUACCAACUGCAGGUGGAGCCAGAACAAAUGACUGGCAGAGCCUAAGCCAGUGACAGGCAGAGCUAACUAAUUCUGGUUUUGUUCCCACAUAGAGUUCUAUAAAGGCAAAUACUCAGAGUGAAUUGGAAUAGCUCAGAAAUCAAGCUUCUUCACUUCAGAAAAUGUACCCCCAAUACAAGUGUAACCCAGACCUCCUUUGAAGUUCAACCCAGGCUUGUAUUAAUACAAGGGUAAUCCAACCCUCCUACUAAUUGUCCACUCUAUUUCCAAGCAAACUUAACUUUGCAAAGGGGGCAGGUGUUUCCCUGCUCUCCCACCCCCUCUGACUUCCCUCUUCUCCUGCCCCCCUUAAAAUAAAUGAUUGGUUAAGCACUUAAAAGCUGAAUUUGCACAAGAUACAUGCAUAUGAGUUGUGAGUCAACUGUAUUAUUUUUGAUGUGAAGCAACCAGAACUGUGCACAGUAUUCCAAAUGUAACCACACCAUAGAUUUGUAUAAUAAUACAGUGGUACCUCAGGUUGCAUACGCUUCAGGUUACAUAUGCUUCAGGUUACAGACUCCGCUAACCCAGAAAUAGUGCUUCAGGUUAAGAACUUUGCUUCAGGAUGAGAACAGAAAUCAUGCUCCGGUGGCGCGGCAGCAGCAGGAGGCCCCAUUAGCUAAAGUGGUGCUUCAGGUUAAGAACAGUUUCAGGCUAAGAACGGACCUCUGGAACGAAUUAAGUACUUAACCCGAGGUACCACUGUAUUAUGAUACUGGCAGUUUUCUUUUCAAUUCCUUUGCUGAUCAUUCCUAAUAUGGGAUUCACUUUUUUCACCGCUGCUGCACAGUGAAAUGCCCAUUGCAUCCCAAGAGGAAAAGAUGCUCUUGAGCAUGCAUCCUAGUCUCAAAAGUGAAACCUAUAUGGCAUAUCUGUCACUAGGAAGUCCUCCCCUCUUGCAUGAGAAAGCUUGCCUGGUAAGAUAGCAGGCUGGGGUUGGCAGAAAGGAUGGAGGCAACCUCACUGUGACUUGGUUUCUCCAAGGUGUCUGAGAGAAAACUCCAAAAGACCUGAAUUUCCCCCAAUGAUUUUCAAAGAUAAACCCAAUUAAUUACCAGGCAAGUUAUUCUUGCACAAUGAUUCUCAGAACAAUUAAAUUAGCAGAGGAAAGACUGUAGCCUUUUAAAGAAAGGAAUGCUUAAUUCCUGUGUGCUUCUACUAAUGAAGGAUAAAUUGUUUCAAGUUGUUUCUAAGACACUUAAUAAAAAUAGUGGAGAAGUGUGGGAGAAUUAGCCUUGUUUCAAUUUUGAAAUGGCACAGAACCUCCAUGUUCUGAACAUUGCUUGAAUUCCAGUUCUGGUUAAUUCUUUUUCUUUGCCAGUCAGCCUUUUACAAGGCAAGCAAACACUGGUAGCCUGAUCUCAUAAAUGUAUAGCGGGAAACAAAACAAAAACAAUUUUACAGCUAGCUGGGAAGACCACAGAGUCCCCACAGUUCCAGUUGCUGAGUUGAUCUUUAAAGUUUGUGUGAGGUCAAGUGCGAUGCUAGAGCCAAGUAAGCCUUGAAUGCUUCAGGGCCCAGAAAAAGGCCCAUCCAUGGAAUAGUUUCACCUCGUGACAGAUGGAAGUACAGUAAGUGGCAGGUUGAAUUCUUACAGUAUUUCAUAGUUCAUGUUAACUGUCCCCUUGAUAGAAAAAAAGUGCCACUCUUGAAAUGGUAAUGGUGGUUGUCUUGAGACCAGCUUUCAAGCAGGCUGGGCCCUACCAUUUGGUAGGGUGAGACAACCGCCUCAUACACAGCAGAUGAAGGGAGCGGGGACAGUGAUGGACAGCUUCCGUUCUUCUAUGAGGGUAUAGAACUUUCUGGGCCACAUGCCGUUUCCUCUGCCCACCUAGCUAGAUUUCUGCUUUUAGAUACUAUCCUGUUGCCAGCACAGUGGUACCUCGGGUUAAAAACUUAAUUCAUUCUGGAGGUCCAUUCUUAACCUGAAACUGUUCUUAACCUGAGGUACCACUUUAGCUCUUGGGGCCUCCCGCUGCCACCGCACGAUUUCUGUUCUCAUUUUGAAGCAAAGUUCUUAAUCCAAGGUACUAUUUCUGGGUGGAGUCUGUAACCUGAAGCGUCUGUAUCCCGAGGUACCACUGUAUUGAAAUAAGGACCAAGGACCAGCUGUUGGUGCAAUCAGCUUCUGCGUUUGGAAUGGUGAAGGCACCAGCUUAUCCUUUCCUUUGGGUUGCAAAAUGCCUUGGACCAUUUUCAGCUCCUCAAAGGAGAUAGAGGUGGCUCUUAGAAAGAGAUACAAGGGAGAAAAAUACAUCCUAGCAAAGCAUCCUUGACACCAGUGGGGUGAAAUGCAAGUUGGAGAAUUAACACUAAACACAUUGUUCCUUUUCAAAGAUAAAAAUGGAAUCCUUGGAAAGAGGAACUAGAAGAGAGAAAGGAGCCAACUUCACCAGACACAAUGCUUGUUUUGCAAGCGUACAAUGAGAAGCAUCUCUAGGAUGCAAUAAAUGUGCAUUAAGCUUUUUAUGGUGGAUUUUCUACCCACUGGUGAGUUCUUCUGUCAGUCCUAGGCUCUGUGGUUUAAGCCACAGUGCCACCCGCGUCCCUCCGAGAACCCAAUUAGGACCUGCCUAAAGGGACUCCAACAGGUGUGAAGCUGGUUGGAGGAACAAUGCAAUAGCAUUUUAUAACAAAGCACAGAAUACAUAUGCAUUUGGAAUAACAUUGUAUGAACAGGGAUGGAAAAACCCAGCACUGGAAAUGCAGCGAGUGCAAAGUAAAAGGGAAUGUGAACAUAGCCUUACAUUCCCAAGCAGGAAGAAAAACAGGAGAGCUCUUGUAACUGAAUGACAUUGACUUGGGUAACCAGUAGGGGUGUUGCUAAGUACAUUAGGAAUAGGUCCCUGAGGCAGCUUAGAUACAUUUAUGGAGUGCCUCUGGGCAAAUUCAGAUGGUAGGUGGCUAGAAUUGCACUUUGCAGAAUGCCCAAAGCGUAAGCAAAUUUAUAUAUAAAAACAGAAAUAAAAAAUGUUUGGGGCUCCUUGGGCCAUCCCUUGAGAAUGCCCUGAUGACCAGCUGAACAGGCCUGAUUCAUGUUAAACUUGCUGCUCAUUUCUUUUGUAGCAAACAGAAUUAUUUCCCAAUCAUUUCUGUGCAACUUGGGAAGAAAAUCUCCUCUAACCACCUUCCACUCUCUUAAAAAUUAUUGACUGUCUCCAGCCCUUUGCAGAGCUCUGAGCACUGUAAUUAGGAACAGGACAGAAGAUUAUAUGCAUUCCAAUGAUGUGUCAUGAGAACAUGUAUUUUGGGUGGAGGCAGCUAUGUGGAGUGAAAAAUCUGUGUAAUGAGAAGAAACCAAAAGGGAAUAAACCAGAUGAAAACCUGCAAGCUCUAUACAUUUUUGGACAUUUACACACAGGCCACUGUUAUGCAUUACACCCGCCUAGCUUCAACCUGGACAAUAUUUAAAAGGCAAUAAAUUACAUGAAAGCAAGUGGACUGGCAGUCAAACUUUAAAGGGAGUGUGAUUAAUAAAUACAUCAGACACACUUCCCAGAAAGUCAGGCACUGCACUGAAACCCAUUAUCACACACUCAAGUCCUCACUUACUCACUUCAGUGGUGCUGGAGCAUCUUAAAACAUCACCACAAUGGAGGCUGCUUGUCAGUAGCAUUGGCCCACCCUGAUGUGUUAACUUUGCAAGCAAGUGAGUGGGACCCUGCAGGCCAAGUGGGUGGCAGCCAUGUAGAAGAGACCCAUUUGAUUGGUUGCCUCAUAUGUGUGGUCCAGUUGCCAUUGGUUAGUGGAGUGGCACGCUGCAGCAAAUGAGGCUUCUCUGCCACAGGAGUAGCAUAUAUAUAGAUUUUCAUCCAUCUCAUUUUACUGAAUGUAUACAAGCAUUUGCAGGAUGGAAAUGGGGCUGGGAGAUGCAGUGUGUCAAAUCUUUUCUGUCCUCACCCCAACCUUACAAUGCCUAAGAUAAUAAGUUACACCAAAUGUAACUGACCUGUAGGUAGGACUCAUGAACAGAAAACAAAUGCAUCAUAUGUACCUUUGUUACCCAUGAAAAUCUUUCAAUAAAAAACUAUUUUAAAAAAUCCUUUCCAGUUUUCCCAGUAUGGAAGAAGUAAUGCAUUGUUCCCAGGGCCCAUUUGGCCUCAUCCUUCCCAUUCCUUUUAUGAGAACAAAAAAGGGGGAGGGACUCAAAUGCUAUUAUUUAUUAAAUUUACACCCCAUCCUACCUUCCAAAGGAGCCCAGGGUGGCAAAUUUCUCUGCAUGAGAAUUAUGUCUAGUUACUGUUCAGUAGAUGAAAAAUGGUGCAACAGUUGUCAAGGACCAUGCUUGGUACUUGGUGAUCAAGUAAUCUUUGUAUUAAAAAAGCUAUGACAAUGGUUAAGCAGUAUUGUGUGCUACAACACACCUACCAGCCAGGAAGAGGCUGAGAACAAUGGGAGGGGGGCAGAGAGAGAUCCAAAAAGAAGCUGCAAUGUGAUGGGUUAGCUCUAUCAUCCAAAAACAGACCAAGGUUGCAAUCCUAAUCCCACUUACCUGGGAGUAAGCCCCAUUGAAUUCAGUAGGAUUUACUUCUGAGUAGAUGUAGUUAAUAUUGUGCAGCAAAAUCCGUAGCACUAUCGAGAAAGUGGAGGGGGCAUGUAAUACUGCUACUGUAUUUGAUUUCCAUUGUUGUGGUGGCAAACAUAGCUGCAAAAUUAAGACUUGCCUUUUCAUUUUCGGCUCAGCUUUAUCUCUGGAAUUGAAAAAGCAGUGAAAAGGAGCCUUUGCUGUGUUUCCCAGGUUCAUUACUGGCUCCCUCCAGCUAUUGGAAAACAAACGAAGUAGAAAGCAAGCCAAAGGACAGCCCUGGAGGCAGUUCCCCGGACAGACAGAAACAGCCCAGAAGCUACAAAUAAUCCCA